rnacentral:rRNA from 1 species
CGCCUGUUUAACAAAAACAUUUUCUUUAGGGUAGAUUAAAGGUAAGACCUGCUCAAUGAGUUUUAAAUGGCCGCAGUAUAAUGACUGUGCUAAGGUAGCAUAAUAAUUUGCCUUUUAAUUGGGGGCUGGAAUGAAAGGUUUUAUGGAAAAUAACUAUUUUAAUAAAAUAAAGUUGAAUUUAAGAUUUGCAUAAAAACUUGCAAGGGGCCUCAAGGGACGAGAAGACCCUGUGGAUUUUUACUUUUUAGGAAAUAAAUUUAAUAAAAUUUUAUUUUGUGAAAAAGUUUGGUUGGGAUGACAGUAAGUUGACUUUAUUUUAUUAGAGAUAAAAGAUCCUAAAUAAGGAACAAAGAACAAAUUACCCCAGGGAUAACAGCGUAAUGCUUUUGGACAGGACAUAUGGAUAAAAGUGUUUGCGACCUCGAUGUUGAAUUAAAAUUUUCUUUAUUAAGCAUAAAUAAUAAAAGUAAGUCUGUUCGACUUUUAAAAUUUUACGUGAUCUG